ensembl:lncRNA
CACCAGUUGACAGAGUCACCCUAUUUCGAACAACCACACACAUACACAUAAUUUUUUUAAAACUGAUUAAAGAAUACUUCCUCGUGCAGUGCAGUUGGAGAACUUGGCAAGCAGUCUACAUUUAAAUGGAGUACAACUACUGUCUUUUCUUCCUUUGGACUCUCUCAGCCCAGCUGUAGCAGCUUCCUCCCUCCGCUGGCUCAGUUCCUUGUGCAUCGAGUACCAGGUGGAGUCUGGGGAUACAGCUAUUUACAUCACAGACUUAAUGCUGCUCUUCCUGGAACAAAGGAAAGCCUGACUGGUAACCAGAAGAUGGCACAUCAUAAUAAUAUGGAGAGAUAUGUAUCAUCUUGGCUGCUACCUGUGGCAGCAGCUUGUAAUGGAAUUAGUCAUGGCUAGAACUUCAUCAUGAUGAGGUUUGUGGCUAACACACUCUGAAACCAGCUGCAAAGUCUCAGAGGCUGAUAUCUUCUCACCAGGACAGAAGGUCACAGCAGUGCUAUUCGUUUGUACUCGGGUGUAUGGUUGUUCACUGACACUUGCGUCUUCCCUUCAAAACCAGUUUUUCCACUGUUGUUUCUUAAAGAAGAGUAGGCAGUGAAGGAGGCAUCUGACACCUCUGGCAAAACUUGCUAGACAAUUUUAACUGAAUUAACAUGUGGGUGUCAUAACUUUUAGUUUAAGCCAUCCUGUGCAGUUAUCUCUAUGUCACAAACUUCUGCUCAAAGGUAGUUCUGCACAGUAACGAUGAUAAGUGCUUAUCUCUUUGUUUUUCUAAGUAUUGUGUGGUACCAUCUGAGAAAAAUCAAAAGCUCUCACCUGUAUGCUUUUGUUGGACUUCCUGUGGGACAGUGAAUUACUUCAGGAAGGUUGGGUACAUGUGUAUCUUCUGAGGCUUCCAUGCGUGCCCUUCCUGAAAUGUACAUGGGCGGAUGACUCGGUACAGUCAAUAUGUGGUACAGAAACCUGACAGACACCCCUGCCUAUGUGUUGGCCUCUCGUCUGCCACCCAGUUCUCCCCUAACAGGAGCUAGAAGUAACAAGUACCUAUUUAAACAUGUUUAGAAAUGUGUGAAAGAAUACAUGCUCUUCUGCUGUUGCAGUAGCAACUGAGCUCUUCAGAAACCUCUGCUCCUAAGUCUUACCGUGGUUGUGAAUUUCAUGUAGUAAAAAUGAGCUCAAUAACAUUCACGUGGUUUUAUGAUGGUUGUUGAUACCAUAGGCUUCUCAAGAAAUUCUAUGCUAUUACUACCUAGAGUACUACAUUAAAGGGAAAAAAGGCUUCCUUCAAUAUAUUUACUUUUCUUCCCCCAGGAAAAGAAAAGCAUAAUUUUGAUUGACAAUUUUAUUGGAAAGUGUGUUUCCAGAACCAUUAUAACUGGUUCAAGUGUCUUGAAGUGCAUUUGGGCUCUCAUAUUCUUGUUGUUGUUGUUGUUGUCUCAUUUUGAGGUUUUUCCCACUGUAUGGAUUUUAUUACUCUGCCUCCUUUUCAAUUCCUGAGUUUUUGUGUUAUCUUUGUAGUUUUUGUCUGAAACAGUGAGAAUUGGAAACAUUAAAAAAAAAGAACUGAGGUUUUCUUGUAAUAACUGUUUUUUGUCAUCAGGAUCUAAAGAAAUCUUAUCAUCACUAAUGAAGUGAGUAGUAGAAGUAAACGUUUUUUAAAUAUUUAUUACUUCAUAGGGACAUAAAACUGAAAAAGUCUUUCUUAUUGAGCAUAUCUAAUCUCUGUUAUUACAUGAGAAUGUAACAAAAUCUUUUUUAGAAGGUACAAAGUGAUGUAUCUGAACUGCUUAGAUGUUUCUUCCCAUAGUCUUUGCUAUGCAGCUAUUUAGGUUGUUACUCCUCCAGUGGAGUACAUCCUUUUCAGCCUGAACAAAUUUUCUUGCGGUAUGGCAGUUGGUGUACCAGAACUUACACAUUAGUUGAUCUUUCUCGAAGAAAAAGAAUUGGGAUGUAGUUCCACUUUAUCUGCUGUGUGCAACAGAUCACUGGUGUUUAAGGAUUUGUCAAAGCUGGUGCCUGAUUCACAUUGCACAAUAAAAACAGUGACAAGUUACUAUGGAAAAGUGGUGUAUGGCUGUUUCAUGCUGCAAGCUCUGAGCACUUGGUAAAUACUAAAGGAUAGGUUUUCAAAUGCAGAAAAUGAAUACUCACCACCAGAGAGGAGGAAAGACAUGAUGUAACUUUAAUAUAUUUUCUAUUCAAUCUUAAUUCCUCUUCUAUUAUAAAAUUAGUAGAGAAGAGAUGGUGGGAUUGCUUUGAUCGCGUUUUCACUCUGUUCCAACUGCUGCAGUUUGUGAGCCAGUGCCUCAUAUGCUUUUUGUCAAUUUUGCACUGCUGAAUGUGGGCUUUCUAAUGCCAACCACAGGAAAUGCAGGACCAAAGGCACCUGAAGAGAUGAUCUUUCAGCUGUACUUCUGUUUCCAGCAGCUACUUACACAUCUCUUCUGAGAAGUGCUCGUCUGAGUCAGUGUGUCAAUGCCUAGUCACAGCUCAUUUUAUCUCUGCUCUUCCAAUUAUUAAUUAGUUUUCACUGAUAUCUGAGCUUGUACAACUUAUGUUUCAGUUCUGUCCUUCUCACCACAGCUGGUGAUUAUCAGACAUUCUUUUUUUUUUCUCUUAUUUUUUGCAGAAGUCUUUCUAUAUUUGAAGCAUAUUAUUGGUUAGCAAUAAAAAAGAAAAGAAACUUCUAACACAGGAUCAUUCUUCUUGAUGUCUGCUGUUCUUUCUCUGGCUCUGUCCAGUUCUGAGAAAUGUAAUGGCCAUGACUUCCUACCUGCAAUUGAGUUCUUUAUUAGGAUGGGCAAGAUUUGUUGCUGAUGGAUCCAAAAAACUGUUGUUACUCUUACUGCAGAUUUGUUCAAUUAUUUACCAUAUUCUGGGGAUUUAAGUUAAGCCUAACAAUCUGCAUGUAGUUUAACGUCUCACUUCUUCCUUUUUUAACACUCCCUUUUUAGAAGCAGCCACCAAGCUCGUCUUUUCCAGUUUUCUUGUACAGCAACCACUCUGUUAG